UACGUAGGGUGCAAGCGUUGUCCGGAAUUAUUGGGCGUAAAGAGCUCGUAGGCGGUUUGUUGCGUCGGCUGUGAAAUCCCGAGGCUCAACCUCGGGUCUGCAGUCGAUACGAGCAAACUAGAGUGUUGCAGGGGAGACUGGGAAGUUCCUGGUGAUAGCGGUGAAAUGACGCAGAUAUCAGGAAGAACACCCGUGGCGAAGGCGGCUUUCUGGGACGGUAGCUGACGACUGGAGACGCGAAAGCGUGGGGAGCGAACAGG
rnacentral:rRNA from 1 species